rnacentral:rRNA from 1 species
GAUGAACGCUAGCGGCAGGCCUAAUACAUGCAAGUCUAAAGGGCAGCAAUGUCCUUGGCGCACGGGUGCGUAACACGUAUGCAACCUGCCCACAACUGGGGGAUAACCUUCCGAAAGGGAGGAUAAUACCCCAUAAAACAGGGAUCCCGCAUGGGAAUAUUGUUAAAGCUUCGGCGGUUGUGGAUGGGCAUGCGGACGAU